GAGGUUAAGCGACUAAGCGUACACGGUGGAUGCCCUGGCAGUCAGAGGCGAUGAAGGACGUGCUAAUCUGCGAUAAGCGCCGGUAAGGUGAUAUGAACCGUUAUAACCGGCGAUUUCCGAAUGGGGAAACCCAGUGUGACUCGUCACACUAUCAUUAACUGAAUCCAUAGGUUAAUGAGGCGAACCGGGGGAACUGAAACAUCUAAGUACCCCGAGGAAAAGAAAUCAACCGAGAUUCCCCCAGUAGCGGCGAGCGAACGGGGAGGAGCCCAGAGCCUGAAUCAGCAUGUGUGUUAGUGGAAGCGUCUGGAAAGGCGCGCGAUACAGGGUGACAGCCCCGUACACAAAAGCGCAUGUGCUGUGAGCUCGAUGAGUAGGGCGGGACACGUGGUAUCCUGUCUGAAUAUGGGGGGACCAUCCUCCAAGGCUAAAUACUCCUGACUGACCGAUAGUGAACCAGUACCGUGAGGGAAAGGCGAAAAGAACCCCGGCGAGGGGAGUGAAAAAGAACCUGAAACCGUGUACGUACAAGCAGUGGGAGCACCCUUUGGGGUGUGACUGCGUACCUUUUGUAUAAUGGGUCAGCGACUUAUAUUCUGUAGCAAGGUUAACCGAAUAGGGGAGCCGGAGGGAAACCGAGUCUUAAUUGGGCGUUAAGUU
rnacentral:rRNA from 1 species